rnacentral:rRNA from 1 species
AGGACGAACGCUGGCGGCGUGCCUAAUACAUGCAAGUCGAACGGUCUUUCUAUGGAAGCUUGCUUCCACUGAGAAGAUAGUGGCGAACGGGUGAGUAACACGUGGGUAACCUGCCCAUAAGAGGGGGAUAACAUCCGGAAACGGGUGCUAAUACCGCAUAGUUUUCUUGAUCGCAUGAUCGGGAAAGGAAAGACGGCCUUUGUGCUGUCGCUUAUGGAUGGACCCGCGGCGUAUUAGUUAGUUGGUGAGGUAACGGCUCACCAAGACGAUGAUACGUAGCCGACCUGAGAGGGUGAUCGGCCACAUUGGGACUGAGACACGGCCCAAACUCCUACGGGAGGCAGCAGUAGGGAAUCUUCCGCAAUGGACGAAAGUCUGACGGAGCAACGCCGCGUGAGUGAAGAAGGGUUUUUUACCGGAUCGUAAAACUCUGUUGUCAGAGAAGAACAAGUUGGAGAGUAACUGCUCCAGCCUUGACGGUAUCUGACCAGAAAGCCACGGCUAACUACGUGCCAGCAGCAGC